rnacentral:ribozyme from 1 species
AUGAGGCUAAGCUCUUCAAUGAGAUGGGAUCCGAAACCCUUUUUUGAGGGCUUAUAUAGGCUCUCCCAUCCAACUCCUUUUUCGACACGUCCUUUCGUGCAGAGUGGUAGCAUGUGUCACCAUAUAUCCAAGCUGUUUUGGACACUCCGGAGGCAACACAAGAUAGCAAAGCAGUUGGAGCACUGGAUAAGUAGUGAGUA